rnacentral:rRNA from 1 species
AUUGAACGCUGGCGGCAGGCCUAACACAUGCAAGUCGAGCGAGCGGGGGGCGGGUGAGUAAUGUCUGGGAAACUGCCUGAUGGAGGGGGAUAACACCUGGAAACGGUAGGUAAUACCGCAUACCAUCAGAUGUGCCCCGAUGGGAUUAGCUAGUGGGUGGGGUAACGGCUCACCUAGGCGACGAUCCCUAGCUGGUCUGAGAGGAGGACCAGCCACACUGGAACUGAGACACGGUCCAGACUCCUACGGGAGGCAGCAGUGGGGAAUAUUGCACAAUGGGCGCAAGCCUGAUGCAGCCAUGCCGCGUGUGUGAAGAAGGCCUUCGGGUUGUAAAGCACUUUCAGCGGGGAGGCGUUACCCGCAGAAGAAGCACCGGCUAACUCCGUGCCAGCAGCCGCGGUAAUAC